rnacentral:rRNA from 1 species
UGAGCAAUCUGCCCUUCACAUCGGAAUAACCAUUGGAAACGAUGGCUAAUACCGAAUAUGACUUCGGAUCGCAUGAUCUGAAGUGGAAAGCUCCGGCGGUGAAGGAUGAGCUCGCGGCCUAUCAGCUUGUUGGUGAGGUAAUAGCUCACCAAGGCGAUGACGGGUAGCCGGCCUGAGAGGGUGACCGGCCACACUGGGAGUGAGACACGGCAGA